UCACCCCAAAAUGGGGAGGGGGGGAGGUAAUGAGAGGCUGUCUUUUUUAAUUAAUGGGUGUUUUUUAAUUAAUGUUGUUAAUUGUGACCGAUUUUGGAGGGUUUGGGGUGGGGGUGUGCAGCUCCCUUCCCCUCCCCGCCCUCCGUGCUAAUUAACGCUCUGUGUUAAUUUCUUGCAUGUGCUGAAAGGACCCCGGGACCAAGGGCCGAGGCAUGACCCUGGUGAGCAGGACAACUCGGACAACAACACCAUCUUCGUGCAAGGCCUGGGGGAGAACGUCACCAUCGAGUCGGUGGCCGACUACUUCAAGCAGAUCGGCAUCAUUAAG